rnacentral:tRNA from 1 species
ACACGUCUAGCUCAGUCGGUAGAGCGCUGGCCUUUUAAGCCAGUGGUCGUGGGUUCGAGCCCCACGGGGGGUG